rnacentral:rRNA from 1 species
UACAGGGGGGCAACGUCGUUGUCGGAAUUACUGGGCGUAAAGGGCUCGUAGGCGGCCAACUAAGUCACACGUGAAAUCCCCAGGCUUAACCUGGGAACUGCGUGUGAUACUGGAUGGCUUGAAUCCGGGAGAGGGAUGCGGAAUUCCAGGUGUAGCGGUGAAAUGCGUAGAUAUCUGGAGGAACACCGGUGGCGAAGGCGGCAUCCUGGACCGGUAUUGACGCUGAUGAGCGAAAGCCAGGGGAGCAAACGGG